rnacentral:lncRNA from 1 species
AGUCACCAGUUCUCCUGCCCUUGCUUAGUUCCUCCCUCUUGUCAAACACAAUCAUUAGCAGCUACUCUGAUUAUUUGUGCUUAUGAGAUUGGGAACAGGAUCUAGUUUUCCACAGUUCCUUGGCAUUGUCUCCUACAACCUUCCCCAGAACAAUACAGAUUAGCUAGACAUGCAAGUCAGUGGGGUUCACUCUACUAAACACUUUGGGAUAUACUGGAGUCUACUUUUCUCUACCCACAGUUCUUUGCUUGCUUCUUCUGAUCCACUGUAGGGAAGGCGACUCUAUUUUAUCCUUUUGAAGAGUCAUGUAGAUCCAGCUUGCUGGUGAAGUUGAGGGUAUAUCAACAUGGACAAUAAAAGCAAAUGGGAAAGGUGAAAUGGGGAUUGUUCAGCUGUGUCUAAUAUUCUAUUUCCAUUUCUCUUAUUUCAGGUUGAUGCCAUCUUCCUUAGGAACCUUCAGAAGCCACAGCCAAUAAUAUGCUUAAGGUUGGCGGGUUGUCUGUGGGCGAGGACUGGCCUGCCUCUCAAGUCUGAGCACCCAUUGGAAGAGGAUGGACUACAUGAAGUCAGUGCUGGAUUCUUGGAUGAAGACUCCAUCGAGGGCCAGACCACAUGUCCACAGCCAAUUUGCUGCAUCCCUCUGGCCCCUCACAUACUUCUUCAUCCCAAGUGAAGGCUUCUUAUCUGUCACAAAGGCACAUCAAUCCUCACCCAGCAGAUAAUUCUGGGACCACCUUCCUCCUGACCUGAGAGAACAGCAUUUCAAUGAGACAAAGUCCAACCAUUCAGCAAGUGUGGAUCCAGUCAUUGAAAAACACUUCCACAGCCAAAGAGCUGUGUCCUGCGUAGACCUCCAUCAACUCUGAGUGUAAAAUACUCUGGGAGUGCUUAAGCCUUCAGUCUUGGACCCACUUUUCUAGGUCAUGGGGCUCCUCUUCAGAGAGGAAAACAGAAGGGAGUCAGGACAGAAAAUGAAUUAAUCACCUUGCUAGUCUGAUGACAGCUUCACUGUCUGUAUUUCACUGUAGACUAUAGGGCAGGCUCAAGGUGAGGAAGACAACUACUAUGAUAAUAGUGUCUUUAUAAAGGCAUUUCUACUGUCCAGUAGUGGGAAGGGGGAACUGCCAGCUCUUCUGAAGACCCCAAUAAACACUUGUAAGGAGAAUAGUCCUUA